UGUCUGUAAAGUACAAUUUUUAUUAAAAUAGAUAUUCAAUUCAUUUACUGUAGUAGUGCCUUAUUAACAACACAUUUAUUUACUAAAAUAAUAACACUACAUAUUUAGAUUCAGGGCAUUGAAUUUGGUUGGUUUACAUAUAUUGUCUUCUGUACAACAACACUGAAAAGGAAAUAAAAUAUUUCCCACACGGCAUAGGAGGAAACUGAGACUUGAAUUGUUUAAAUAAUUUGUCCAGACCAUACCUUUGUCAACAAAAUAUUUUUUCUGUGAUAAAUUAAUUUAUAUUAACUAAUGACACAGACACUAACUCCAUAGGGGGAGAAAAAAAUACAGCAACAAAUGGCAUUCCAUCCUCAAAAAUUUCAGAAAAACUGAAGCAGGAUAUUUUCCUGACCCGUUCAUAGGACUUGUGACAGGGGUGCCUUGUUUACUCAGCCUGCCACUGUCAACUCCUCACAGGCGGGAGCACACGAGAGAAUGAGGCAGAAACUAGAAUGCAUGAGCACUGGAAUGAGCUGGCUGUUUUGCUGCUAGCAGGAUCAAACUCCACUCACUCAGACCCACUGUGUUCCACCCUCAUGGGAGGGAGCUCACAGUGCUGUAACACCAUGCCAGCAUACUGGUUUUCUCGGACAUGGGAGAGAGAUAAAACAGCAACAGUCUCUGAAGCCAAGACUGCACAACUUGAUCGAGCUGAAGAAUUAGUUACCUGCUGGAGGCAUCAACAAAGGAUUUUCAUCAGUGCUGCUCAACAUUUUGUAUCCGGGCUGAUGACCAAGCAUUCCUGAGAUUGAGGACAACAUUCAGCAAGUCUCUAGCCGUUGUAAACUCUGAAACACAUUUUCUUAGUACCAGGAAAUAAAGAUUUUCACAUUUCCUUGAAUGUUAAGUAGUUCUAAAAGUAUAAGUUGCAAAUACAUCUUUUAGAAUUUCACACUGUUGCCCAGGCUGAAGUGUAAUGGCGCGAUCUCAGUUCACCGCAACCUCCACCUCCCAGGUUCAAGUGAUUCACCUUGCCUCAGCCUCCCAUGUGGCUGGGAUUACAGGCACCCGCCACCACACCUGGCUAAUUUUUUUAUAUUGUAUUUUGUAUUUUUUUUUAGUAGAGACGGGGUUUCACCAUAUUGGCCAGGCUGGUCUUGAACUCCUAACUUCGUGAUCCACCUGCCUCGGCCUCCCAAAGUGCUGGGAUUACAGGUGUGAGCCACCACACCCAGCCCUGGUUUUUUUUUUCAUAAAUGUUUUUACCAAUGAAAAAAGGAGAUUAAAAUAUCUGUUGAUGUUAUCUUGAGAAGCAGAACAAAGAAAGAACAGAUUAGUGAAUUGUCUCAAGUGUAGAAUCCAUAUAAACAUGCAGUAUUGUACUAUUUGUCAGUUUCAACCUGCAGACUGCCCAUAGUGUACAGGAUAAAAUAGAAAUACAUGCAGGCAGGACCCUUCUGAUCUGACUCUUGCCCACCCUUGCAGCCUCAUCUCUUGUCACGCUUUGCCAUUUUAGAUCCCAUGUUUAAAGCCAUAUCAAACAACUGACAGUCCCCUCGAUAUGUUGUGACUUUUCACACUUCAUGACUUCACAAAAUUUGUCUUUUGGGUCCAUCUCUUCCCAUCCUCCCACCAACCUAACCACAUCCUCUGGCUGACUCCUACACCUUCUUUGAGAUCCAAAGCAUAUGUGUCCUCCAAAGCUCUCCUGAAACCCUCAGGCAACCAUGAAUGGAACAUGUAUGUACUUCUGUUAUUGUAUUAAAUACUCUGCAUUACAAUCAUCAGUUCAUAUUUCAUAUAAUUUAAUGUCAAUAUUAAAAAUGGCUUAGGUGUAAUACCAAUUAGUUGCUAAUUAUAUGCCAGCAUUUUACCUGUGUUAUUUCUGUCUCCUAUGAGGUGGUUACUAUUGAUUUUACUCACUUUAUAAAGCAGAAAACAAGCUUAGAAAUAAGAGGGAACUCGCCUGGGGUUACCCAGGUGGCAAGUGGUGUCCCAGGCAUCUGGGUAGACAGGCCCAAUAUCAAACCACUAUACUCUCUUACUCCUCUCUCUGACUCUUAAACUUCUGAAGGCACAGAUAGUUUUUUGUUUUGUUUUGUGUCUUGAUCCUCAGUUCACUGCAUGAAGUGAGGAGCUGACAAGUAAUAAAAGAGACUGGCAUUUCUGGUUUGGCCUUUAGGGAGCUGAGUAUGGGAGCAGGCACUUGGCCUUGCCAUCUACCCUUACUACACAACCCCCUGCUUCUCACCAGUGUCUCAAGCCACCAUAAAACCCUGUGUAAGAAAAGAUGCAGGGAAUAUGUGUUUAGAGUCCCUCAGUUCACUUUCUCCACAUACUGUCUUCAGGUCCAUCCUGCCUGGCUUUAUUUUGUGCACACAGCUGAGCAGGCCACAUGUGUGGAAAAGGCUUAUGAUUGGAGUGAGCGAGGUGUCAGAACAAGAUGAGCUUUGUGAUCGCUCAGCUCUAGGGAGCGAUUGUUGUUUUCAAGCCUUCACCCUCCCUCACACUUCGCACUCACUUUAAUUGUGACCAAUUUGGAAGUGCUAUUUGCAUCUGCUGGAAUAAAAUACGUACAGCUGUGGAAAUAACAAAAAAUGAAAACUCACUCUUAGUGGAGGUCGGGGGGGACCUUCAUCAAUUGCUACUGAGUACUUAAAAUGAAAAUGUUGCCUUUCCUAACAAACAGCACUGAGAUUUUUCGGAGUGCAAUUUUCUCUGCUCGUGCAUAUGUAUGCAAUAGAUAUCUUCAGAUAUACUUCUCCCCACGCUUUGGUUGGGGUUACAAACGCAGAAGUGGGCCUUCAAGACAGCCUUUUAUUAGAUCUAAAACCAGUGGGCUAAGUAGCACAUCUUAAGUCAUCAUAAGAUAUAAUUAUUACUGAAUUGAAAAGACACAAAACACCAAAAAAAUUCUUAGAGUUGAGGAUCAACCUAAAUAUUACUUCUUACUUCUCCUAAUCCCCAUUGUGCCAGAUCAGUGCUUUGUAUCUGGUAGAUAUUCAAGCACUAUUUCCUGAGUCAAUCGUAGGACACUCCAAACAAUAAAAUGUGAGAAGUCAGAAGGAAAGGGGAGGAAAAGGCACAGGACAUGUAUUCAGCCUCUACUACCUGCUGGAUAAUGUGCUUAAACCUCACAAAAACCUAAAGUGACUUUUUAUUUUCAUGUUAUCAAUAACGAGAACUCAAACUUAAAGAAACUAGUCUGUAAAGUUUUUAGAAUUUUCACUCCUUGUUAAAUCAAGGUAAGAAAACAGACUACAUCCCACCACCCCUCUUCCCAUGUGGGUCACAUGGAAGCUGCCUCAAGUUGUCAUUAAGGAUGCUAGAGUUGGACCACCUGGGCCUGAAUUCUGAUUCCACCAUUUGCUAGCCACAUAGCUCUGGGCAAGAUAAGUAAAUUCUCUGGGCCUCAGUUUCCCCAUGUGAAAAACUGGAUUGAUAAUAAUAUCCAUUUCAUAGGGCUUUUGUGAGAACAAAAUGAAAUAACAAUAAAGUCUUUAGAAUAGUGUCUGGACAUAGGCAGUACUUAAUAACAGUACUAACUGCCAUAGUUUGGCAAAAAAAAAAAAGACACUUAAGAUUGGAAUUUGUGUCUGAUCCACAUUAAAUUCCUCUUUUCCCCACUUCAUCAAGUAGCUUUCCUGAAAAUUGAACCUUUAGGUAUUCAGGUAUUCACACUAUCUUAAAUUUUCUGUCGUUCUUUCCUUCCCUCCAUCCUUCCUAUCUCUUUUUUUUUUCUUUCCCUCCCUCCCAAACACAUGGAAUGGAUAGGUACUCUUCUAUGUACAUACUGAGUUAGUUUCAUUUUCAGAAACAUUUUUAGAAACCAGUGCUCCCUCCUGAUUCCAGUACUUUGCAAACACUGCUGCUUCUGACUUAGUCUUCCUGCAUCACAGGCCCAAAUUUUUGGGUCACCUAUCUUCCUCCUGCAUUCAUCUUAGACUCAAUGUCGCUUUUUCCAGGAAGCCUUGCUUGUCGCUACUGUUACCAAUAUCAACUCAUUCCACUCUCACAUCUUUCAAGACUUGAAUGAUUUGUGCUCCCUUGACCUUGAUGGUUUUGAGUAUUAGUUUUUCAAUGGGCUUGUUUAGCAUGUCUAGUCCUGCUUGGUAGAGGCCUCAGCUUGUUCUUUUUCAUUUCUCCGAAUUUUCUUGCUUGCCUCUAGGAAAGACCUGCAUUCCAUUUUGUUUCAAUGACAGACCCUCAAAAUUCAACUACAGAUGUUAGAUUCUACCGUGACUUGAAUCCAUCAACACCAAUAAAGAUAAACUCUUCAAAAAUAUCAAGUAAAGGGUAUAAACAGACAAAUCUACAAAAGGGUCCCAUUUGUCUCUCCCUUGACCUUUAGGUGGAUUACUUGAACGGUUUUCUGUUCUAUGUGUCUGUGUGAGGGUAGGUAUUACAUACAUAUUUUUCACCCUUGUAUUCCCCAGCUUGGAGGUCAAUGCCUACUAUUAG
rnacentral:lncRNA from 10 species